rnacentral:tRNA from 1 species
GGGGUUGUAGCUCAGUGGUAGAGCGCCUGCCUAGCACGUGGGAGGCACUGGAUUCAAUCCUCAGCACCA